CCCGGAAAGGGCACAGGAGGGAAGAGUUUAGUGUAAAAAGCCAACCAAAGCAAACCUAAACCAACAAAAGCCUUCAUCUAAAACCCAAAGCUACCCAGACUGCAGAAUUCUGGAUGUCUAUUAAGUUGUCGGGUCAGUAAUGCAAGAGAGCCCUUCCACCGGUAAUCUGGAUUUCUUUUCGCUAGGCCAGUUUUUUCUUUUCCCUCUUCACGCUGCCUCCUAACAGCAUUUAAACAUUCCAAAGUUCUCCUCAUAUUAAAAUAACCCUUCUCCAGACCUUUUAUCCUCCAGCUACUAUUUUUUUUUUUUGACUUCAUAGCCAAACUUCCCAAACGUGUGCUUUCCAUUUUCUAUUUCUUAUUUCACUCCCAUGGGGUUUGUGCCUUUAUCAUUCAUUUCCUCACUCUCCAGAAACAAAAGUUUCCCAUGUGUCACCAAAUCCGAUGCCUAGUUUUCAGCUAGUUUUCUUGACCUUUCAGUAUCAUUGGGCAUCUGCUGAUUUCUUCCUCUCUUUGAAAAUGUUUGGCCUUAGUGAAAGACGCUCUCUUCUGGGUUUCUCUUAGCUUUUUUCAGUCUCUGAUGCUCGCUUUACCUCUGCUAAGUUCUCAAAACAUGGGUAUUCCUUAGAGCUGGGUCCUAGGACCUUCUCUUCCCACUCUGCACUUUUCCCUAGGCAUCUAUGCCUUGAAUUCAGUUACCAGUCUUUUACAGAAGACAUAUACAACUCAGAUCUCUGAGUCCCUAAUCCCUAUAACAACUUCUUAUUACACACCUAGUUUUGGAUGUCUGAAACCCUGUUGAUUUUAAAUACUGAAUCUCUCCCAGAUUUAUCUAAGAGGGGUCUUUGAAAAGUUCAUGGAACUGCCUCGUGGCACCUGCCCCCUUCUGCGCGGUCACACUGAGCUAACGCCUGAGCCUGGAAGCAGGCGGCAGACCCUCAGCUUCGCCUACCGCCUCCCUACCAUGGAACCCUGCAAAGUGAACGAGGUUUGCGCCUUUGUGAAGAUGUGUAAGUGGCAUCCAAGCGUUCUGCACACUGAGGAAAUGCGCUUCCUGAGGGAUUGGGUGGAGAGUAUGGGGGCUAAAAUACCACCUGCUACUCAGAAAGCUAAAUCAGAAGAAAAUACCAAGGAAGAAAAACCUGAUAGUAAGAAGGUGGAGGAAGACUUAAAGGCAGAUGAACCAUCAAGUGAGGAAAGUGAUCUAGAAAUUGAUAAUGAAGGUGUGAUUGAGUCAGACACUGAUGCCCCUCGAGAAAUGGGAGAUGAAAAUGCAGAGAUAACAGAGGUGAUGAUGGAACAGGCAACUGAUAAGAAAGUGGCUGCUAUUGAAGCCCUAAAGAUGAUGAAUUGCUGAAAGCCAUUGACUUAUUCACAGGUGCCAUCAGGUUGAAUCCUCGCUUGGCCAUUUUGUAUGCCAAGAAGGCCAGUGUCUUCGUCAAAUUAUGGAAGCCAAAUGCUGCCAUCUGAGACUGUGACAGAGCCAUUGAAAUAAAUCCUGAUUCAGCUCAGCCUUAUAAGUGGCAAGGGAAAGCACACAGACUUGUAGGCCACUGGGAGGAAGCAGCCCAUGAUCUUGCCCUUGCCUGUAAAUUGGAUUAUGAUGAAGAUGUGAGUGCAAUGCUGAAAGAAGUUCAACCUAGGGCACAGAAAAUCGCAGAACAUCAGAGAAAGUAUGAGCAAAAACGUGAAAAGUGAGAGAUCAAAGAAAGAACAGAAAGUUAAGAAGGCUUGAGAAGAGCAUGAGUGAGCCCAGAGGGAGGAAGAAGCCAGAUGACAGUCAGGAGCUCAGUAUGGCUCUUUUCCAGGUGGUUUUCCUGGGGGAAUGCCUGGUGGUUUUCCCAGAUGAAUGCCUGGAAUGGGAGGGGGCAUGCCUGGAAUGGCCAGAAUGCCUGGACUCAAUGAAAUUCUUAGUGAUCCAGAGGUUCUUGCAGCAAUGCAGGAUCCAGAAGUUUUGGUGGCCUUCCAGGAUGUGCCUCAGAACCCAGCAAAUAUGUCAAAAUACAGAGCAACCCAAAGGUUAUGAGUCUUAUCAGCAAAUAGUCAGCCAAAUUUGAAGGUCAAGUGUAAUGCCCUUCUGAUAAAUAAAGCCUUUGCUGAAGGAAAAGAAACCUAGAUCACCUUAUGGAUGUCACAAUAAUAAAAGUAGUGUACCUCUGACCUUCUCAUCAAGAGGGCUGGGGUGCUUUGAAAAUAAUCCCUAUUCCACUCCCCUAAAUGCAGCUGAAGCAUUUUACAGUGGUUUGCCGUUAGGGUAUUCAUUCAGAUAAUGUUUUCCUACUAGGAAUUACAAACUUUAAAUAUGUUUUAACCUUAAAAAUAUUUAAAACAAAUUUAAAGUGUCUGUUAAUUCUUACAUUUUUCUUUACUAAUCAUUUUUGAUUUUUUUUCUUUGAAUUGUUGUGCAGGGAAGAUAAUGUAUAGAAGAUUUUUGCUCUAAUUUGAGUGAAAUAAAAAUUUAUUAGUGUGAGGCAAACAUAACUGAUUUGAGGAUAAAGUUUUUGUUGGAUAUGUGGUUCCUGAAGCAUUUUGACUUGUCUUUUUAAACCCGUUAUCUUUUUCUUUAAAGAUUUAUUUCAGUAAAACUAAUUGGGGCCACCAGUAUUUCAGUAGGACCUGGGUAGGAACUGGAAGUAUUUGGCAGGGCAGCAGCAAUCUUGCUGUGUUUUAUAUAACAUGCAUCCUUGGGUGGGUUGCCCUUAAAUGUUACACUGUGGUGAAGGGAUGAUUAUUUUAUAAUGCUGCAGUAGAGUUGGAGUACUUAGGUCUGUUCUUGUCUAGUAUUUCUAAUAAAUGUAUCGUAUUAUUUCCACAUAGGGGAAAUAAGGGAAUACUUUUCCUUUUAUAUUUCUAUGCUUAAAAUUCUCUUUCCUUGUCAAAAAAUGCCCAGCUCUGUGUCUGCUUUCUAUGUUUUUCUCCCUUACUUUUCUUGGGCUAAAGACAGGCUUUUUCUGCCAGUAUUAUCACUGCUAUCAUCAUUAACAGCAUAAUUAUACAAGCAUAUUUAAUGCUGAGUUUAAUUUAAUAUGUAAUGCAUAUGGUAAUUGUAGGGUAAUAUCCACAACAACUAUAGUUUCUUACUUGGCCAUAAGAAUGCUUAUUUAGGCAUUCUGGUAAAAUCAUGUCAUAUCAAAAGACAUUGGAAAGAGGGAUUCCCUUUGGUGUUUGGUCUUCCACUUAGAAAAUACCUGUUGCAGAUAGAGUUUAUCUUGUAGUAUUCAUCUUUGUAUUUUGAAGAUAAUAAGGUUUGAUUUAAAUUGAUCUACACAGAGGGGAACCAAUUUUUUUGAUCCAAUGUAAAUUAUAAAUGAGAUAAUUCACAGUUAUUCACUGUGGAGUUGUUGAGACUGUGAAAGACUCAUUGUCUUUGUAUUCAGCUCUUCCUUAAAUAGUGAAACCCUACCCCUACCUCUGCUUGCUUUCUUUCCCUCCCCUCCCAUGAUAAAAUAAAU